UACGUAGGGCGCAAGCGUUGUCCGGAAUUAUUGGGCGUAAAGAGCUCGUAGGCGGCUUGUCGCGUCGGAUGUGAAAGCCCGGGGCUUAACCCCGGGUCUGCAUUCGAUACGGGCAGGCUAGAGUGUGGUAGGGGAGAUCGGAAUUCCUGGUGUAGCGGUGAAAUGCGCAGAUAUCAGGAGGAACACCGGUGGCGAAGGCGGAUCUCUGGGCCAUUACUGACGCUGAGGAGCGAAAGCGUGGGUAGCAAACAGG
rnacentral:rRNA from 1 species